GGGGGUGCACCGGAUUCGACUGUGAUGUUCGGUGUUUGAGUUGCAGGUGAGGUUACCUGUCCUCUGAACGGGUAAAAAUUUUAACUGCCGAAACAAACGACAGUUACGCUUUCGCUGCGUAAGCAGUAAAGCGCGGAAACUGGGUGAUGCUGCUCCGAAGCACCCUGACCUUCCGACGCCAACCGGAGCUUACUUCCUUUUGGACCUGAACUAAAGGAAGGACACCACUUCAGGAUACGGAGCCGACGCUUGCGGUGCUGCCACCGGUUCCCGACAAUCACCUCGCGCCGAUAAACCUGUAGACGCUCCUUCAUUGCAUCAUAGGACGGGGGUUCAACUCCCCCCAUCUCCAAAA
rnacentral:tmRNA from 1 species